CAGGGCCUCACACAUGCCAGACGAGCGCUCUACCGCUGAGCCACAACCCCAGCCCCCCUAGUGCCCUUUCUUGGGGGGGGGCAUGCAUUAUACACACAUCCCCAUUCCUGCCUACAAUGUUCACACUGUGAAGUGGCACUCCCUUUCUCCUCAGAAAGUAUUAACUGGGCUUCUCUAGAAAUCUUCACCAUGGCUGAUUUUAGGACUGUCAGCAAAAGAGUCUCUGCAGAAGAGUUCAAUGUAGAUAAACUUCCUAUUUUCCUGUCGCCCUGUUUUACUUGGCCACUGGCUGAGAUGAUACCAGCACUCCAAGUGCUGGACACCCCCUUACUAGUUUUUCACAAACAUACACAGUAUAGUAGUUUGUAGAAAUGUGCAAACAAGCCCUCUGGCCUUGAACUGGGUUUCACAGAGAUGUCUACAUUUUUAAGAUAAGUUACCAACUGGGCUCCAUUGUAACAACUAGCAGGGGGAGAAAAGAAAGGGGAGAAGAAGCUGUCUCCUUCUCAGGUGUUGUCCUUGAAGGGUUAACUUGUCCAAAACAGUGAAAGAAAAAGCUGCUUUUAUGUGAACUUCUGCAGACUGAACUUCUGAGCCCCACUCCUUACAUGCUGGGUAUAAAACUCUGAAACUACCUGAACUAGGGAUUCAGGAGAUUGAUUGAUUACAACAAAAGCUGUGCCCUCUGAACCUGGCUGCAGCCAAAUAAAACUGUUU
rnacentral:lncRNA from 1 species